GUGGCCUAAUGGAUUAGGCGUCUGACCUCUAAUCAGGCGAUCGUGGGUUCGAAUCCUACC
rnacentral:tRNA from 1 species